GGGCCCGACCUGGUUUCGACGGGAGUUCUGAAGUGCGCUUGGGGCAUGCCGAGGCGGUAUACCUCGUUAAUCCUGCUAAACGCAUUUAAUUGCAAACGAUAGCUUCUACGGCGAAAGCCGUCUCGCAGCCUAAUUAAAAACUAGGUUCGAGUGUUGCAGCAGGGGACGUGGACCCUGCGCCGAGCCGGGCAACUGGUAAAGCAGCAACAU
rnacentral:tmRNA from 1 species